rnacentral:rRNA from 1 species
AUUGAACGCUGGCGGCAGGCCUAACACAUGCAAGUCGAAUGGUAACAGGAAACAGCUUGCUGUUUCGCUGACGAGUGGCGGACGGGUGAGUAAUGUCUGGGAAACUGCCUGAUGGAGGGGGAUAACUACUGGAAACGGUAGCUAAUACCGCAUAACGUCGCAAGACCAAAGAGGGGGACCUUCGGGCCUCUUGCCAUCAGAUGUGCCCAGAUGGGAUUAGCUAGUAGGUGGGGUAACGGCUCACCUAGGCGACGAUCCCUAGCUGGUCUGAGAGGGUGACCAGCCACACUGGAACUGAGACACGGUCCAGACUCCUACGGGAGGCAGCAGUGGGGAAUAUUGCACAAUGGGCGCAAGCCUGAUGCAGCCAUGCCGCGUGUAUGAAGAAGGCCUUCGGGUUGUAAAGUACUUUCAGCGGGGAGGAAGGGAGUAAAGUUAAUACCUUUGCUCAUUGACGUUACCCGCAGAAGAAGCACCGGCUAACUCCGUG